UACGUAGGGGGCAAGCGUUGUCCGGAAUCAUUGGGCGUAAGGCGCGUGUAGGCGGUUCAGUAAGUCUGCUGUGAAAGUCCAGGGCUCAACCCUGGGAUGCCGGUGGAUACUGUCGGGCUAGAGUCCGGAAGAGGCGAGUGGAAUUCCCGGUGUAGCGGUGAAAUGCGCAGAUAUCGGGAGGAACACCAAUGGCGAAGGCAGCUCGCUGGGACGGUACUGACGCUGAGACGCGAAAGCGUGGGGAGCAAACAGG
rnacentral:rRNA from 1 species